GCUACCAGCACUGCCGUGGAGUGAAU
rnacentral:sRNA from 1 species